rnacentral:rRNA from 1 species
AGUGAACGCUGGCGGUAGGCCUAACACAUGCAAGUCGAACGGCAGCACAGUAAGAGCUUGCUCUUACGGGUGGCGAGUGGCGGACGGGUGAGGAAUACAUCGGAAUCUACUUUUUCGUGGGGGAUAACGUAGGGAAACUUACGCUAAUACCGCAUACGACCUACGGGUGAAAGCAGGUGAUCUUCGGACCUUGCGCGAUUGCAUGAGCCGAUGUCGGAUUAGCUAGUUGGCGGGGUAAAGGCCCACCAAGGCGACGAUCCGUAGCUGGUCUGAGAGGAUGAUCAGACACACUGGAACUGAGACACGGUCCAGACUCCUACGGGAGGCAGCAGUGGGGAAUAUUGGACAAUGGGCGCAAGCCUGAUCCAGCCAUACCGCGUGGGUGAAGAAGGCCUUCGGGUUGUAAAGCCCUUUUGUUGGGAAAGAAAAGCAGCAGGUUAAUACCCCGCUGUUCUGACGGUACCCAAAGAAUAAGCACCGGCUAACUUCGUG